rnacentral:rRNA from 1 species
UCAACCUCAUCAACCCUGUGAACAUACCUAAAACGUUGCCUCGGCGGGAACAGACGGCCCCGUAACACGGGCCGCCCCCGCCAGAGGACCCCCUAACUCUGUUUCUAUAAUGUUUUUUCUGAGUAAACAAGCAAAUAAAUCAAAACUUUCAACAACGGAUCUCUUGGCUCUGGCAUCGAUGAAGAACGCAGCGAAAUGCGAUAAGUAAUGUGAAUUGCAGAAUUCAGUGAAUCAUCGAAUCUUUGAACGCACAUUGCGCCCGCCAGUAUUCUGGCGGGCAUGCCUGUUCGAGCGUCAUUACAACCCUCAGACCCCCGGGUCUGGCGUUGGGGAUCGGCGGAAGCCCCCUGUGGGCACAACGCCGUCCCCCAAAUACAGUGGCGGUCCCGCCGCAGCUUCCAUUGCGUAGUAGCUAACACCUCGCAACUGGAGAGCGGCGCGGCCACGCCGUAAAACACCCAACUUCUGAAUGUUGACCUCGAAUCAGGUAGGAAUACCCGCUGAACUUAAGCAUAUCAAUAAGCGGAGGAA